ensembl:snRNA U2 U2 spliceosomal RNA
GUUCCUCCUCCUCCUUCUGGCCAAGAGCGGUUGUUCUUAGUUUAAUAUCUGAUCAAGGACGAUAUAUUAAGUUGGUUUUGGAACCGGGACCUGGAAUAGGAGCUUGCUCCGCCCCUCCGUGCAUCGACCUGGUGGUGCAGUACCUCUAGGGACAGUGCACCUUCC